UCUUUAACGGCCUCUGUUUUUACUUUCCGUUUGAGGGCAUGCAACAAACUUCAGCCUGGUCCUCACAGCCAUUGCCCUGUUGGGGCCAUUCUCCCACAAGCUGUCCAAGCUCCAAAACACAACCCCUAGCCUCUAUGUGCUGUGUGCAUAAUCCUGCAGUUAGGGGCUUUAUGCCUCCCAUUUCAAGGAAGUACUGGGGACCCACUUUCAUUAGCUAAUAUAUAGCUCCUGAUGCACAGCAAGCUGCUUUGAAUACCCAGAUUGAAAGACCCACCCCAAUAACCUCAUAAGAAACAAAAUACAAGAAUCAGGCACAAUACUUUCUUCUUGGAUCAUAACCUGAAGGUUUGAGACUCAGACUCUGGCCGACUUCCAGCAGGAGGAAGCCUUUAUUGUUCAAUAAAACUAUUCUGCUGUAGGCAGAAAGGUGUCACCAUUAGUGGCAUUGCGAUUUGCAUCAGGCCUUUUCAUUCUGCUUUAUGAUAGCUCUCCAACACAGCGUGGUUUUGGGGGGUUAGGUUGGAGGCUAGCAGCAAAAGAGUUGGGUUCUUUGUGAAACUCCUUUUUUCCCCCAACUGCUUUGCUGCAUAACCUUGGGCAAAGUCUGUAUCGAUCAUGUAUACCUUGGCUUCACCCUCUGUAAAAUGGGGAUAAUAUUACUGACUGACCCAUCUUUUAGAUUCUUAGAUGAAAGGUGCUAUUUCAGUGGAAAGUGUUGUUAUUGGCAAAUUCACUAUAAGCAAUUCCUUUGGGUCCUUGAUAACAACAGUAGAAUCAGUCAAAUGCCCUUGAUGCACUGCAUGGUCCCAGAUACCUUUCAGAGUUUCUUUGUGUGCUGUCCUACCCCCUGAGGUCUGAGGGGACGGGGCUGCUGGAGCCUGGAUUUUCCAGGAAGGGUAGUGUGUUUGCUUCUGGCCUCAAGGCUGUAAACUGCUCUUCUUUUUGACAUGAGGUGGACCAUUGGAAUGAUCCUCUUUUAAAGGAGGUUUAAAAACUUUUUAAAAUUAUAAAUCUCAGAAGGCCUUCAGCAGAUUGUGUUGCCUUAUAAGUCAACUUUUAACUCCACACCACAGUAGGAAGCAGCUAAACAGAAAAAAAACGGGAUAAAGGUUAUAGAAUCUGCAGUGAAUUAGAUGAAGAAUUUUACUCUCCUUUCUGAUAAACAGUGUUAAUGGGAGCCGGUUACUAGUUUACCUUUCAGAAAUAUGCCAAGUAACACACUGCAGCACGCUAAGACUACAAGGACUGGAGGCUGAGUGAAGCUAAACUGCCCAGAAGCAACUGUCCAUUUUCAUUCUUGCACCACAGUUCAACGAUUAACUUUGGGCAUGUAAAAAGACCAUACAGACGUAAUUGCCGGAAACAUUGUGAAGAAGCUGAACUGAGGCUGAAGUUUAGAACUAAAUUGCGCUGAUUUUUCUUCAUUAACAUUCUACUAAUGGCAUCUUAGUGAGGUGCCACCAGUACUCCUCGUUCUUUUUGCUGAUACAGACUAACACGGCUACCACCCUGAAACCAUUCUACUAAUGGAAAUUAGUUUUCUGUCUUCAUUACGGCAAUGUACACCACACUCUUUUGAAAAUGUAAUUAAAGCAAAGAGUUGUAUAUUGUGUAUUUUAAUAGACUGCUCAUUCGCUGAGUAAACUUAAAAAAAUUAUUCUGUAAUCUAACAAAAGUAAUAGUGUGUGUAUCCUAACAGAACUAUAAAACUAAUUUCUUGGAGAUUGCAUAGAUUAUAUCUAUAUUUUUGUUCAACUUACCAGUGAGUACUUGGAGGGAACCUUGAUGCUGAAACACCACUUGCACUGCACGCUGGCUGUGAGGUUUGAUGCAUAAAAGAUAUUCUUAAAAGGCC